AGAGUUUGAUCCUGGCUCAGAACGAACGCUGGCGGCAUGCCUAACACAUGCAAGUCGAACGGCACCCCUGGGUUCGCCUGGCGGGUGCAGUGGCGCACGGGUGAGUAGCGCGUGGGAACCUGCCUUUCAGUGGGGGAUAACCGCGGGAAACUGCGGCUAAUACCGCAUACGCCGGUUGUCUUGAAAGAGAUGGCCGGGAA
rnacentral:rRNA from 1 species